UACUCUCUUGAAUAGACUCGCCACAGCCUAAGUCCGGAUGGCUCCUUCUUCAGAUGGUUGCAAUGGACUUCUUGGAUCGCUUGGAAGCUCACUAAACUCCCCUCCUCAAGCUUGGAUUGAUUAUAAGUCCAAGCUUGCAAGUGAGCUUCAGUGAAACUUCUCACCAGUGGCGCAUCACCACUCCUUUCUCAAUUCUCCAUUGCUCCACACAAUGGCAAAGUCUUCCUCUUUCAACUCGGAUGGAUGGUGAACCAAGAACACCUCUUGUGAACCUGAAACAUCACUCAAACUCCAGCAAAGAUAAGACACAAGUGCAUUGGGUCAACCCUUGAUACAUCAUCAAGUUUGAACACCAAUGUCUUUAAGCAAUGCAACAGAUUAAACU
rnacentral:lncRNA from 1 species